GGAAUGUUUAUUUCCUACUUUGUUUAAAAGAAAAAGAUAUCCAUUUUGCUUUCUUGAUUUUGAAGUUAUAGAAAUUAUCUAAUUUACUCCUCCUAAGGCAGACAAGGGUUUUGCUUGCUCAGUGUCCUCUGUGCCCAUCACUGCCACAUCCUGAAACUCCGUCAAACCUGCGAAACACUUCUCAGUCAAGUCAAGAACAUUAAUACCUGAUCUACUGUUUUCCUUGGGGACUUCUCUAUGAAGCCUGUCACUGGCUCCAGUGUGGACUGGGUUCCCCUUGGCCAGCUGCAUAGCAGGCAUAAUGGGCCUUCUUUUCUUUGUCGUCUCUCUCUCCUCCUGGGAACCCUCUGUUUCCUGGAUCUCAGGCUUUUUCAUUGAUUCUCUUAUCUGCGCCUAUGCACUGAGCGAGAGGCCGUGGGCAAUGAAUAUGUUGACAUCUUGCACAUCUGAGAAUAUUGUUAUUCCACCCUCAGACUUGAUUUAUAGUUGAGUUGAGAACAUAAUUCCAGUUAGAAUUCAUUUCCUCAGGACUAUGAAGCAUUUCUCUAUUGUCUUCUACCUGCCAGUAUUGCCACUCAGAAGCUUGAUGCCUUUAUAAUUCCUGAGCAUACGUGACCUGCUGCUUUUUCAUGUCAGGAAGCUCUUAGAAUCCUCUCUUUAGUGCUAGUGUUCUGCAUUUUCUUGAUGAUACGCUUUGGUAUGGUCUUUUUUCCUCUUUCUGCUAGAUAGGAAGUGGGCCCUAUUAAUCUGGAAAUUUAUGGCCUUCAAUUAAUGGAAAUUACUUGUUCUUUGGGAUAUUGAAUGGAAAAUGUUUAAAAUUCCAGAUUCCAACUACAAUCUUUCGGAACCUAAUCUCAGGAGUGGCAUUCCAUCUAUUGGUCAUAUUCUAUUUGUUGAGGCUCGUCAGUAAACUCAACUGGAGGGGAGGAGAUUACACCAGCAUGUGAGUACCAAGAAGGGGACCAUCCGGAGCCAUCUUGGAGGCUGCCUACCACACCUUACUUAAAAACAGACAAGAGUCAGAAUCUCUUCACUUCAUCUGCUUUUCAUGAGAGUGAAACAGUGUUACCUGUAGCAAUACAGGGCCUCAGUCUGAUGUCGAAGAUUUUCCUGAGAUCUCCUACAGACAGAAGGAAUAUGGAAGACUUUUUUCCCCAGAACAGCAACUACAAUAAUUCUAUAAGAUGAUCUUAUCCUGCUAAGAGUAUUAACAAGAAAAAUCACUAAUAGGAAAAUUAAGAGACAUUCAUUACAAAAGUGAUUACUCAAACUCAAAUACAGUUAUCUCAUUUCUCAAAGAAAAGUCUAAAAACCCAGAGAAUUAAAAUCGGAGUUUUUGAGGCAGUUUCCAUAACUCUAUCAUUUCCAGCAGGGAGAAAAAUCAGGUAGUAAUGCACCUCAUCAUUCUCCCUCAACAUUAACUCAAUGGAACUACCACUCUCUCUCAAUGGUUCCAGUAUAUAAACUUAUUUUCUAGCUAACACAUCUACGAAAAAUGCCUUUUUAAACCCCUUUUAGAAACUGUAGAUGCAACUGAUAACCUCAAAAGAAUGAAGAGUUUAUUUGCCAGGCACAACCUUGGCACACAAAUUCUAUUGCUCUCUACAGUUGUUUCACCUGACAACAUUAAUUCUUUUCUACUUUAAUGAAGAAGAAAGUUGUACAUGUCACGAGGUUUCUUUGCUUCAUCCUGAAAUCACAGGCAGCCUCUCGCCCUGGGAGUGUCGUCUAGGGCCCUGAAAGUGGGCUCUUUCAUCUGAGCCCGGUUUUGAAUCACAGCCUCUUCAUGUGGUUUUUCUUAGGAGGAGACAGAAUACAAAGACACCUCCUGCACAGAUGUUCCCUGGCUUAAAGAGGAUGAGUCUUGAAAGGCUUGACUGAAAUUUGAGCAGAAGUUGCAUGUUUUUAUGAGACAAGUAAAUCACACUCCCAGAAUAGUCGGAAGGGGUGGGGUUCACUGAUGUCUUGGCUCAGCUGGCCGCUAUCUGGGCACUUAAGAAGGAAGUAAAUCAUUUAAUAGGAAGCUCUGAAGCCACCUUUAUGGAUGCUGCUGCUGGACAACUGUGGAUUCCAUUAGCCAACUUGCCACAUUGGAAGAAGAGACUAGAAUCAGAAAUUUGUGAAAACUUUCCAAUGCUGGAGGAAGUGUUUCAGCAGUUGAAAAUAAUAAAAUCUAUAGUCAAUUUGUCAGAAGUCUGCAGAUACUCAGAACUACUACAAAAGUCUCCUGAAAAAUACUUCUGUUGAAAUGGGAAAAUGAAUUCAUAAUUCUUUUCUUGCAAGUUUCAUCAUAGCACCAAUGAUGAAAGUUCUGGAAAGAUACCCUCAUUAAUUUGAGGACAAGAGAAAUAAAAUCAUGAAUUCAACCCCUAAAGAAAGAAUCUGGGAAAUAUCUAGUGUUUCAUAAGACAAACUAUCUUCACAUAACAAAGAGCAUAAUGAAACAUAAUGAAAAUUAAUAUUCAGUUCGCCUCUUACUCCUUUACGUGUCAGGGUUUUCAGCACUUAUUCCUAUGAAAAUAAAAGUCAAAAUCAAAUGGAAAUCAAAGAUGUCUGCAUAUUGCUACUUCAAUAAGCUCUCUCUAUAAUCUUACCCCCUCAUUAAAGCGAAACCAAACAAAACUGAUACUAGUACAAUUUAGAUCUCCUUCAACUUUUUUCAGAAAUUAGCAUAAUUUCUUAAGAAAAAAAGAGAGUAAAAAAUUAUAAUUCUUAAAAAAGAUUAUUUCUAUUCUCCAUUGUGAAAU
ensembl:lncRNA